GGCCCGGUAGCUCAGUGGUUAGAGCGCUGGCUUCGCAAGCCAGAGGACUGGGGUUCGAUUCCCCGGCCGGGUGG
rnacentral:tRNA from 1 species